UACGAAGGGGGCUAGCGUUGCUCGGAAUCACUGGGCGUAAAGGGCGCGUAGGCGGCCGUUCAAGUCGGGGGUGAAAGCCUGUGGCUCAACCACAGAAUUGCCUUCGAUACUGUACGGCUCGAGACCGGAAGAGGUGAGUGGAACUGCGAGUGUAGAGGUGAAAUUCGUAGAUAUUCGCAAGAACACCAGUGGCGAAGGCGGCUCACUGGUCCGGUUCUGACGCUGAGGCGCGAAAGCGUGGGGAGCGAACAGG
rnacentral:rRNA from 1 species